rnacentral:rRNA from 1 species
AUUGAACGCUGGCGGCAGGCCUAACACAUGCAAGUCGAGCGGAUGAAGGGAGCUUGCUCCUGGAUUCAGCGGCGGACGGGUGAGUAAUGCCUAGGAAUCUGCCUGGUAGUGGGGGAUAACGUCCGGAAACGGGCGCUAAUACCGCAUACGUCCUGAGGGAGAAAGUGGGGGAUCUUCGGACCUCACGCUAUCAGAUGAGCCUAGGUCGGAUUAGCUAGUUGGUGGGGUAAAGGCCUACCAAGGCGACGAUCCGUAACUGGUCUGAGAGGAUGAUCAGUCACACUGGAACUGAGACACGGUCCAGACUCCUACGGGAGGCAGCAGUGGGGAAUAUUGGACAAUGGGCGAAAGCCUGAUACAGCCAUGCCGCGUGUGUGAAGAAGGUCUUCGGAUUGUAAAGCACUUUAAGUUGGGAGGAAGGGCAGUAAGUUAAUCCCUUGCUGUUUUGACGUUACCAACAGAAUAAGCACCGGCUAACUUCGUG